UGACCAAUCAAGCUCUGCUUGGCCUUGGGGCUCGCUGUACCGGCGGCUCUUAAAAUCAGUGGCGGUGCCGUCUGGCUCUAAGCGUAGUAAUACUUCUCGCUAUAGAGUCUAGUCGUUCACUUACCAGAACUCUUAAUUUUCUUA
rnacentral:misc_RNA from 1 species